CAUCCAUGACUUGAGAAGCUGGCAUCUUUAAAUAUGUAAAUUGAGAACAAGAAUAUUAAUAAAUUUUUUAUGUUUGGUUUUUUUUCCCUUUCCUUCAGUUUGCUAAAGCACUCUCCAGUGCAUGCAUCUUAGCAGUAUGUGUAUGAAGGAGACUGGGCAGGAUUCAGUCCAAACAUACAUUUUUCAUUAAAUGGUGCCAACUAGACACCAAAGAGAAGCAACUUGCAUUCUGAUGAAGAGGGUGUUUUCCUGUUUAGGAGGAAAUAUAAGGAUUUGGAGUGAAAUAUGAAACUGCUCUAAAUUCUAGGCCUUCAAAGCAAAAAUAUUUCACCGAGAGCAUGAGACAUACACAAGAUCCACGACUCCAACUACUGCAAUUUCAGGAUAAAGAUACUAAAUCAGCUCACUGAGGGAAUGAAAUAUCUUUCAACUCUCUUGGGCAAGAUACUGUGCUUUGCUGUGGAGUCCUGUCCCUUCUGCCACUGACUUCAAAAAGCAAAAGGCAAGUGUCAGCAUCAGAGCUGCAGCUGAUUCAUCUGGAUACUCUGGCUGUGACAAAGUAUGUGCAAGCUGCAACAAGAUAUGUGGACUUAAAGCAUCGCUCUAUUAUUUGGCAUAAAAAAAUAAUGUUAGAUAUAAUUUAAUUUCAAUUCAUUACAAAACAUUGAGAAAGCAAGGC
rnacentral:lncRNA from 1 species